AGUGAACGCUGGCGGUAGGCCUAACACAUGCAAGUCGAACGGCAGCACAGUAAGAGCUUGCUCUUACGGGUGGCGAGUGGCGGACGGGUGAGGAAUACAUCGGAAUCUACUUUUUCGUGGGGGAUAACGUAGGGAAACUUACGCUAAUACCGCAUACGACCUACGGGUGAAAGCAGGGGAUCCUCGGACCUUGCGCGAUUGAAUGAGCCGAUGUCGGAUUAGCUAGUUGGCGGGGUAAAGGCCCACCAUGGCGACGAUCCGCAGCUGGUCUGAGAGGAUGAUCGGCCACACUGGAACUGAGACACGGUCCAGACUCCUACGGGAGGCAGCAGUGGGGAAUAUUGGACAAUGGGCGCAAGCCUGAUCCAGCCAUACCGCGUGGGUGAAGAAGGCCUUCGGGUUGUAAAGCCCUUUUGUUGGGAAAGAAAAGCAGCAGGUUAAUACCCCGCUGUUCUGACGGUACCCAAAGAAUAAGCACCGGCUAACUUCGUG
rnacentral:rRNA from 1 species